rnacentral:rRNA from 1 species
UACAGAGGGUGCGAGCGUUGUUCGGAAUUACUGGGCGUAAAGCGCGUGUAGGCGGCCCUGCAAGUCGGGUGUGAAAUCCCACGGCUCAACCGUGGAAGUGCACUCGAAACUGCAGGGCUAGAGUCCUGGAGAGGAAGGUGGAAUGCUUGGUGUAGAGGUGAAAUUCGUAGAUAUCAAGCGGAACACCGGUGGCGAAGGCGGCCUUCUGGACAGUGACUGACGCUGAGACGCGAAAGCGUGGGGAGCAAACAGG